GCGUGUGCAAGACACACAGGUUCGUUUGUUAGUUGGGAAGCCGUGUUGCAUUUUCAGAAGAACCUGGUUAAAAGUCUCAGGGCUUCUUGCAUGGACAGACAGCACCUGUUUGAGCUAGAGCGCUUCACCGUUCGAUCGAAAAAGAAAG
rnacentral:ribozyme from 1 species